rnacentral:lncRNA from 1 species
GUGUUGGUGUUUCGGUGGUGCUGAGAUUCUAAGGAAGUUGAGAUUAUGUGGUUAGUGGGGGGUUGAUAUUUGGUAUUUAUCUUAUUUUAUUUUAUUUUCUCUCCCCAAAAAUCCCUUAUUUCUUCCCGACGUUCUUUUUCUUCCAAACCAAAAAAAUCCCCAAUUUUGUUUUUUUUAUUUUCUUUACUCUUUGAUGGAAAGUUAAACUCAUUUCUUACGUUCUUUGUCUCUGCCUCUAAUCCUUGCUUUUGUGCGUUUCGAACCCUUAGUUUCAGUGUAAUUGGUAAGUGGGCUUGCGUUUGCAUUCUUAUGUCACUUGAUUUCUGAAGGUUGAAUCUUUGUUGUAUCUUUUGCGUAGGAAGAAUGGGUAGCAGUAGUUUUUUUUCAAUGGUGUAAUCUGCGCGAGUGAACGGGUGUGUUGGCGGUAAGUGAGUAAGCAUUAUUCGAUUUAGUUUUGAGCGGUUUGUGAAUUGUUGGCUAAAUUCAUUGUGGAUAUUCUAUUUUUAGGUUCUGGCAGGCUUGGGAUUAUUUUUUUCAUUGAAAUCGUAACAGGUGUGUACCCCUUAUGCAUGAAAAAUGAGUUUCAGUAAAAGCGAAAAGUGUGGACUAUUGACGCUACAUCGGUG